rnacentral:rRNA from 1 species
GACGAACGCUGGCGGCGUGCUUAACACAUGCAAGUCGAACGCUGAAGCUCAGCUUUUGUUGGGUGGAUGAGUGGCGAACGGGUGAGUAACACGUGAGUAACCUGCCUCCUUCUUUGGGAUAACGCCCGGAAACGGGUGCUAAUACUGGAUAUUCACUGGUCUUCGCAUGGGGGUUGGUGGAAAGGGUUUUUCUGGUGGGGGAUGGGCUCGCGGCCUAUCAGCUUGUUGGUGGGGUGAUGGCCUACCAAGGCUUUGACGGGUAGCCGGCCUGAGAGGGUGAACGGGCACAUUGGGAAUGAGAUACGGCCCAGACUCCUACGGGAGGCAGCAGUGGGGAAUAUUGGACAAGGGGGGCAAGCCUGAUGCAGCGACGCCGCGUGAGGGAUGGAGGCCUUUGGGUUGUGAAACUCUUUCGCUCAUGGUCAAGCCGCAACAAUGGUUGUGGUGAGGGUAGUGGGUAAAGAAGCGCCGGCUAACUACGUG